UUCCGGUUGAUCCUGCCGGAGGUCACUGCUAUUGGGGUCCGGCUAAGCCAUGCGAGCGGAGGGUGCGGUCGAAAGAUCGUGGCCCCGCACACGGCUCAGUAACACGUAGUCAACCUACCCUUGGGACGGGGACAACCUCGGGAAACUGAGGCUAAUCCCCGAUAGGCGGGGGACGCUGGGAUGCCUCCUCGCCCAAAGCUCCGGCGCCCGAGGAUGGGACUGCGGCCUAUCAGGCUGUUGGUGGUGUAACGGACCACCAAACCUACGACGGGUACGGGCGAUGGGAGUCGGAGCCUGGAGAUGGGGACUGAGACAAGGCCCCAGGCCCUACGGGGCGCAGCAGGCGCGAAAACUCCGCAAUGCGCGCAAGCGUGACGGGGGGACCCCAAGUGCCGUUGGUCUUUCGAUCAACGGUUUUUAGGAAGUCUAAGAAGCUUCCAGAAUAAGGGCUGGGCAAGACUGGUGCCAGCCGCCGCGGUAACACCAGCAGCCCAAGUGGUGGCCACGAUUAUUGGGCCUAAAGCGCUCGUAGCCGGAUCAAUAAGUCCCUUGUGAAAUCGGGCCGCCCAACGGUUCGGCGUGCAAGGGAUACUGUUGGUCUUGAGGCCGGGAGAGGUCGGAGGUACUCCUGGGGUAGCGGUGAAAUGCUCUAAUCCUAGGGGGACCACCAGUGGCGAAGGCGUCCGACCAGAACGGACCUGACGGUGAGGGGCGAAGGCUAGGGGAGCGAACGGGAUUAGAUACCCCGGUAGUCCUAGCUGUAAAGCAUGCGGGCCAGGUGUCUAGCGCUCCUUGAGGGCGCUAUGUGCCGGAGGGAAGCCGUUAAGCCCGCCGCCUGGGAAGUACGGUCGCAAGGCUGAAACUUAAAGAAAUUGGCGGGGGAGCACCACAAGAGGUGGGACCUGCGGUUCAAUUGGAUUCAACGCCGGG
rnacentral:rRNA from 1 species